rnacentral:rRNA from 1 species
GAAAUAUUGCAGCUUAACUGUAACAGUGCCGUUGAUACUGUAGAGCUAGGAUUAGGUUGCUGUGGGCGGAAUGUGUGGUGUAGCGGUGAAAUGCUUAGAGAUCACACAGAAUAUCGAUUGCGAAGGCAGCUCACAAAGCCUAAAUUGACGCUGAGGCACGAAAGUGUGGGGAUCGAACAGGAUUAGAUACCCUGGUAGUCCACACUGUAAACGAUGAUAACUCGCUGUCGGCGAUAUACAGUCGGUGGCCAAGCGAAAGCGAUAAGUUAUCCACCUGGGGAGUACGACCGCAAGGUUGAAACUCAAAGGAAUUGACGGGGGCCCGCACAAGCGGAGGAACAUGUGGUUUAAUUCGAUGAUACGCGAGGAACCUUACCCGGGCUCGAACGGUGCAUGAAUGUCAGAGAGAUUUGACAGUCCUUCGGGACAUGUAUCGAGGUGCUGCAUGGUUGUCGUCAGCUCGUGCCGUGAGGUGUCGGCUUAAGUGCCAUAACGAGCGCAACCCUUGUUGACAGUUACCAUCAGGUAAAGCUGGGGACUCUGUCGAGACUGCCACCGUAAGGUGUGAGGAAGGGGGGGAUGACGUCAAAUCAGCACGGCCCCUAUGUCCGGGGCGACACACGUGUUACAAUGGGAGGUACAGAGGGCAGCUAUCCAGUGAUGGAGUGCAAAUCUCAAAACCUUUCUCAGUUCGGAUUGGAGUCUGCAACUCGACUCCAUGAAGUUGGAUUCGCUAGUAAUCGCGCAUCAGCCAUGGCGCGGUGAAUACGUUCCCGGGCCUUGUACACACCGCCCGUCAAGCCAUGGAAGCUUGGGUGCUUGAAGUUCGUGACCGCAGAGCGACCUA